GGAAUAUUGCGCAAUGGCCGAAAGGCUGACGCAGCGACGCCGCGUGUGGGAGGAAGCCCUUCGGGGUGUAAACCACUGUCGGAGGGGAAGAAACCCGCGCUCUCGAACAGGGAGUGCGAUUGACGGUACCCUCAGAGGAAGCGCCGGCUACCUCCGUGCCCGCAGCCGCGGUAAGACGGAGGGCGCAAGCGUUGUUCGGAAUUACUGGGCGUAAAGCGCGCGCAGGCGGCCUUCUAAGUCCCUUGUGAAAUUCCGGGGCUCAACCCCGGAGAUGCGUGGGAUACUGGAAGGCUGGAGAACGGUAGAGGCUAGCGGAAUUCCUGGUGUAGCGGUGGAAUGCGUAGAUAUCAGGAGGAACACCGGUGGCGAAGGCGGCUAGCUGGGCCGUUUCUGACGCUCAUGUGCGAAAGCGUGGGGAGCA
rnacentral:rRNA from 1 species